rnacentral:tRNA from 1 species
GGGCCCAUAGCUCAGUUGGUUAGCAGCACCUGACUCAUAAUCAGGGGGUCGUUGGUUCAAGCCCAACUGGGCCCACGA